rnacentral:rRNA from 1 species
UAAGGAAUAUUGGACAAUGGACGCAAGUCUGAUCCAGCCAUGCCGCGUGAAGGAUGACUGCCCUCUGGGUUGUAAACUUCUUUUAUAGGGGAAGAAAGUUAUUUUUUAGGAUAUUUGACGGUACCCUAUGAAUAAGCACCGGCUAACUCCGUGCCAGCAGCCGCGGUAAUACGGAGGGUGCAAGCGUUAUCCGGAUUCACUGGGUUUAAAGGGUGCGUAGGCGGGUAUGUAAGUCAGUGGUGAAAUACCGGAGCUUAACUUCGGAACUGCCAUUGAUACUAUAUAUCUUGAAUAUUGUGGAGGUAAGCGGAAUAUGUCAUGUAGCGGUGAAAUGCUUAGAGAUGACAUAGAACACCGAUUGCGAAGGCAGCUUGCUACGCAAAUAUUGACGCUGAGGCACGAAAGCGUGGGGAUCAAACAGGAUUAGAUACCCUGGUAGUCCACGCCCUAAACGAUGAUUACUCGACAUUAGCGAUACACAGUUAGUGUCUGAGCGAAAGCAUUAAGUAAUCCACCUGGGAAGUACGACCGCAAGGUUGAAACUCAAAGGAAUUGACGGGGUCAUAGCUGUUUCCAG